CUUCCUCCUUCUCCUCUUCCUCCUCCUCCUCCUUCUUUUUCCCCCUUCUUCUCUUCCUCCUCUUCCUCAUUCUUCUCCCUCUCCUUCUCCUCCUCCUCCUUUUCAUUCUCCUCUUCUUCCUCUUCUUCCUCUUCCCCUUUUUCUUCUUUCUCUUUCUUUUAAAAAUAUUCUUUGCUUAUUUUAAGAUCAGAGGAGCAAAAGAAUCCUAGUUUAAUCCAAAAUGCCCAAUUUACAAAUGAGGAAACCAAAGUCAAAUGACAUUAAGAGACUCACCUAGGUAAAUGUCAUGAGGGUUUUGAACCCAGAGCCUCUGAUCUUCAAGCCAGUGUGUUCUUUUCUCUCUACCACCCUGGCUCUCCUUCUAUAGUCUGAUAUUCCAAGUGUGAGAAUAAUUAAUCUGGUAAUUUAAAAAAGAGCCACUGGCAGCUCUAGGAGAUCAGAUGCCCAUAUUACCUCCUAUUUGGGGUUCUGCUCUCUCCCUUUUAUGUCUUGCUAUAGCUGACAAGCACCUCAGUUGCCUUAUUCCUCAGAGGGAACUAAUUGGAGGUUCUAUAUUCAGGUGAUGCUGUUUGGGCUGAUGAGGGGCUGAUGCUGUUUGGGCUGAUGAGGGGCUGAUGCUGUUUGGGCUGAUGAGGGGCUGAUGCUGUUUGGGCUGAUGAGGGGCUGAUGCUGUUUGGGCUGAUGAGGGGCUGCUGGGGAAGUGAGUAGGGAAGCAGUUCCUUCCUGCCCCUCUGCCCUUUUAUCCCUCCCUCCCCAGCUUCUUUUGGGGUCCAGAUGGCGAUGUGGCUCCGGCUCCAGGCGGUUGGCACACGAGCCAGCUGUGUGUCUGAUUAACAAGAGGGGCUGGCAGAUGCGGCUUAUCUCGAGAGCACACAAAGGCACAGGGUUGGGCAGUUCUCCUCCCUACGGCUGUCUUCAAAUUGGAAAGGGAUCUCUGAAAUGUGGUGCCAUUUUCUACUCCAGCCCUUCGGAACGCUCAGCCCCAUAAGAUGCUUCAUUGUCUGCUGGCUUUGCCUUUAAUGGUAUUUUAUUUUUUUUUUCAAUUACACGUAAAGAGAGUUUUCAACAUUCAUUUCUGUAAGAUUCUGUAAGAUUCCAAAUUUGUCUCCCUCCAUCCUUUUCUUCUCCCCUCCCUAAGACAAAAUGAUUCAUGUUCUGGCAGAUUAUUUGAACAGUAUAGAGGACUCUUCCUCCUAAAAAAAAGGAUGGGUUCUUUCUAAAGGUGCUGAUGGAGAGGUGAGAUGCACUAAGCCUCAUGGGUGACUUCCAAGCCCUUGGCUUGCCCAAGGACACAGAGGAGCAGAACAAGCCUGAUUCAGCUGGCUGUCCCUCCUGCUCUUUGUAGGGAUGUGGGGAGUGGGUUGGAUAUUCCCUCCAUCAGUGCCGAUCAGCACCUGCUUUUCCAGAGCCUUAUGGAGCUUUCUGGUGCACUAGGUUAGGUGGCUCAGAUGCAUUCUGCUCUCUAUCCGCUAUUAUAAAUAUUUUUCAUGAAUAAUAAUAUCGUGUGACAGGUUCAUUAAAGAAUUAUAAAACCAUAUGCUGCGUGCAAUCUGAGGAGGAAGCUUCUUAGCUAGGUGGUGAAUUGGAUGGAGUGCUGAAAAGGAUCU
ensembl:lncRNA